ACUGGAGUGUUACACAGAUUUUUCUAUAGGGAUAAGGUAAUAAGAUAUAAUUGAUAUUGUAACUGUCCAGUGGAGGUUAAGUUCCCAAAACAGUGAUUGACCAUGGGUCAAGAUUCCCCCAAUGAAGAAGAAAUUCUAAAAUCUGAAGAGAGAGAGAAAUAAAAAAAAAUAAUAAAAAAAAAACCCAGGUAAUGGAAAGCCCUGGUUGAGGGCGAGAGGAAAGGGUUGCAGAGCACGCUGAGCAGGUACUGCCUAUGGAAGUACUGACUCUGACUUCAGAGGUGGGGAGACAGAGGUAAGAGCAUGAAGUAUGUAAAUACUCAAAGUGUUUAUACUGCAUUACUUUAUCAUGGAAGUAAGUAAUGUAUGAAAUUUGCAUUAUAGAAAUUAGACUGAGAUGCUAAUCAUUUCUUGUUCCUAAAGCUGAAGACAUCUAUAAAAUAAGUUUCUAAUUCGGAGAGGUGAGCAAGGAUCCACAGGUUAAGCAGACUUCAAAAAUAUACCAUCUAGUGCCGGGCACAGUGGCACACGCCUCUAGUCCCAGCUACUUGGGAGGCUGAGGCAAAGGAUCACGUGAGCCCAGGAGAUCGAGGCUGUAGGGUGCUAGUUCAGGGCUGUUGUGCACUAUGAUUAUGCCUGCGAAUAGCCACUGCAUUCUAGUCUGGGCAUCAUAGCAAGAUCUCAUCUUAAAAAAAAAAAAGGAGUAUGCCCUCCAUCUAGAAGGGGAACAGUGAGCCCCAGGGCACAAAGAGAGGGAACAAAAAAACCAGGGCCAGCCUUUAGUAGCAGCUGAGCGUGG
rnacentral:lncRNA from 1 species